AUUGAACGCUGGCGGCAGGCCUAACACAUGCAAGUCGAGCGAGCGGCGGACGGGUGAGUAAUGUAUGGGGACUGCACGCAAGAGGGGGAUAAAUACUGGAAACAGUAGCUAAUACCGCAUAUUCUCGGAUAACACAUAUGGGAUUAGAUAGUAGGUGAGGUAAUGGCGCACCUAGGCGACGAUACCUAGCUGGGGUGAGAGGAUGAUCAGCCACACUGGGACUGCGACACGGCCCAGACUCCUACGGAGGCAGCAGUGGGGAAUAUUGCACAAUGGGCGCAAGCCUGAUGCAGCCAUGCCGCGUGUAUGAAGAAGGCCUUAGGGUUGUAAAGUACGUUCAGUCGGGAGGCGUUACCGACAGAAGAAGCACCGGCUAACUCCGUGCCAGCAGCCGCGGUAAUAC
rnacentral:rRNA from 1 species